ensembl:snRNA U2 U2 spliceosomal RNA
AUUGCUUCUCAGCCUUUUGGCUAAGAUCAAGUAUAGUAUUUGUUCUUACCAGUUUAAUAUCUGGUGUGUCCUCUGUCCUAGGACAAUAUAUUAAGUGGAUUUUUGGAGCAGGGAGAUGGAACAGGAGCUGGCUCUGUACACACCAUGCAUCAACCUGGUAUCAUGAUACUUCUAGGAAAGAUGCACCCUGU